UAAAUUGAAUAGGGCUUGGGUGUUUUUACUUAAUAGGGAAUCGGAUAAACCGAGCUACCCCAGUAACCGUAUCACUGACGAAAUCUGAUUAUGCCACUGCGCAAGCGGGAAGGUAAGAAAGUAGGAUGAAGUGGAGCCGGGAGACCUGCCUAAGUCUGGUUGGCCAA
rnacentral:ncRNA from 2 species